rnacentral:rRNA from 1 species
CAUAAAAUGGAUUAUCGCAUGAUAAUCGAUUGAAAGGUGCAAAUGCAUCACUACCAGAUGGACCUGCGUUGUAUUAGCUAGUUGGUGGGGUAACGGCUCACCAAGGCGACGAUACAUAGCCGACCUGAGAGGGUGAUCGGCCGCACUGGGACUGAGACACGGCCCAGACUCCUACGGGAGGCAGCAGUAGGGAAUCUUCGGCAAUGGACGGAAGUCUGACCGAGCAACGCCGCGUGAGUGAAGAAGGUUUUCGGAUCGUAAAGCUCUGUUGUAAGAGAAGAACGAGUGUGAGAGUGGAAAGUUCACACUGUGACGGUAUCUUACCAGAAAGG